AGAGUUUGAUUCUGGCUCAGGACGAACGCUGGCGGCGCGCCUAACACAUGCAAGUCGAACGGAGCUUAGAGAGCUUGCUUUUUAAGCUUAGUGGCGAACGGGUGAGUCACGCGUGAGGAACCUGCCUCAAAGAGGGGGACAACAGUUGGAAACGACUGCUAAUACCGCAUAAGCCCACGGGUCGGCAUCGACCAGAGGGAAAAGGAGCAAUCCGCUUUGAGAUGGCCUCGCGUCCGAUUAGCUAGUUGGUGAGGUAACGGCCCACCAAGGCGACGAUCGGUAGCCGGACUGAGAGGUUGAACGGCCACAUUGGGACUGAGACACGGCCCAG
rnacentral:rRNA from 1 species